rnacentral:rRNA from 1 species
GACGAACGCUGGCGGCGUGCUUAACACAUGCAAGUCGAGCGACGCUCUUCCUUCGGGGAGAUGACGGAGCGGCGAACGGGUGAGUAACACGUGGGCAACCUGCCCCUAGCUCUGGGACAACACCGGGAAACCGGUGCUAAUACCGGAUACGACAUCGAGCGGCAUCUCUCGAUGUGGAAAGUUUUUUCGGCUAGGGAUGGGCCCGCGGCCUAUCAGCUUGUUGGUGGGGUAAUGGCCCAACAAGGCGACGACGGGUAGCCGGCCUGAGCGGGCGACCGGCCACACUGGGACUGAGACACGGCCCAGACUCCUACGGGAGGCAGCAGUGGGGAAUAUUGCGCAAUGGGCGAAAGCCUGACGCAGCGACGCCGCGUGAGGGAUGACGGCCUUCGGGUUGUAAACCUCUUUCAGCAGGGACGAAUUCAGACGGUACCUGCAGAAGAAGCACCGGCCAACUACGUG